rnacentral:tRNA from 1 species
GCCUGGGUGGCUCAGUGGUUGAGCAUCUGCCUUUGGCUCAGGUCAUGAUCUUGGGGUCCUGGGAUCAAGUCCCAUAUCAGGCU